AAAUUUGCCUUGCAAGAUGGCUCGUCGAAGAGAACGUCUUCAUACCUGCCAGUUCAGCUUCUUGUGUGUGUGGCGCGGUGACGAGUUGGGGUGGGGAAGCACCAACACCAUGGACGAUUUGGGCAUUGCUGCAUCCACCUAGCUCCAACCAGCGCCGGGACAGAGGAGACCCCGACGCUAUGGACAAGCAGCGGCGAUUUGAUCUACUUCAUCCUCCACCUCGACUCGAUUUCAUCUGUUUCCCCUGCUGCAACGUCGCCUACCUCAAUUCAAUUCAAUUCAGGCAGUAGCAAACAUCACUCGAGAUGCAGGACGAGCUCCUAGUUCGGGUAAGCACCCCCACCCCCAUCCCCAUGCUUGUUUUAGUCUCCAAGGCUGCUUCUUUCUUGUGUGUGCUUGCUGAUGACGCUUCUUUUCUCCAUGCGUGGAGUGGAGGAACCUCAACAGGCAACAACAAGUCAUCUCCAUGGAUUUUGUCACUCCAGUUCCAUCACAUCUCCAUGGACGGCAUCCACAAACGACCAAGAUGACGACCAGGAGCCCGGCGACGGCGGCGACUACAACCUCUCCGUCUCCGGUGACUACAUCUCCUACCUCUACCUCCCUCUCUUGUGCUCCUGUGUAGGAGGCGUAUCACUGAAAUGCUGCUCCUUCUAAUUCAUAUAUGUAUAUGGUUGACGAGUCAGGACAAGCAACCAUGCCUAAUUAAGAAAGCUGGGCUAUUUUUCUGGUUUUCUAGUGGGAUUCUUGGCCGAAAUAUAGGAAGUUGUGCUUUUUUACUUGCCCAGGCUUGAGUAGUUGCCUGUUUUGUUGAAGAAGAAAAGAAGCAGACUGGUUCCCUACUUUUUAAUAAUAUGGACUACAUACGGAGCAAAAUGAGUGAAUCUACACUCUAAAGUAUGUCUAUAUACAUCCGUGUGUAGUUCAUAUUGAAAUCUCUACAAAGACUUACAUUUAGAAACGAAGGGAAUAGAUUAGAUGAUACGUACUUGAUUAGAUGGUUUCAAGAGACAAAAGUUUCAUGCAAUUAUGUUUAUUCAUAUCCCUCAAUGCAGAGGGAAUGCCCAAGCCAACGCUUAUGGGAAUAAUUGUUUGAGUGAGAGCAGCUAUUUUUUUUAUUUACUAGUCACAGUAGGUGGAUUCCACUUUAAAAAAGUUCUACAUGGUGCAUACUGUUUGUCUACUGCCCUAUUGUGACCUCUAUUUUCUUUCCAUUGUUUACCAGAGAUUUGCCUUGCAAGAAGGUUAGUCGAAGAGGAUGUCUUCAUACUAUGCCAGUUUAGCUUUUUUGUGUGCCCGACGAAUCUCAGCUGCAGCUGGCAAAAAAACCAACCAACCCUAUCCAUCACCGGAGUCCCUCUCUUCCGGAUAGCAGAUGUAAACUCAAGCCCCUGCACCUGUCAAAAUUUACAUUUUAUCCAUCUUCCUUUUCAUCGGCAUAACAACACUUCAUAUGCUCUUCAAGCAAACUGAUUUCUGGUGUUCUGAAUAGAUUCAUAAAAAUUAUCUUGUUUACUGGGCAUGUAACGUCAAAUGGUUCUUGCUCUAAACAGAUUAAAAAAACCCUAUAAUAUUCUCUCAUUUACUGGGCAUGUAACUCCACUAGAUUUGGUACAACUCUGUUAGGUUCAGACUGUGUUCGGAAUCAAAGUAUUUUUGGAGUUUUUGAAGAAUACCGUGGUUUUUGAAAAUAAAUAUCAGUUUUAAAUACUAUAAUGUGUUUAGCACCAAUAAAGACUGCAGUUUGACAAACCGUAGUAUCUCUAAAACUAAGGUCUUUAUGUAGUAACUGAAGAAGAGGUCUCCGUGUCUUUCUUAAAAACUCAGAAAAUGCUCGCUCGAUGGUCUCUCUGUCCAUCUUCUGGCCAUUGUUGCAUGUGAGUCCUAUCUAUACUAGCUAUCUGAUCGACCUAUCAAUCCAGAGGCGCACAUACAAGUUUCAUCUUCCUGCGGUAGCCCUCGAACUCGGUGUCCUGCUUGUAGUAGCAUGGCUCUGUUCACAACAACAUAGCACUGUCUGCCGCCUAGUACCACUGCUCCAUGUGGAUGCACAACUAUUCCAUCUUUGAUCAAUUAUAAGUGAUGACUCUACUGCAUACCCUAGCAUCUAUGGUCCGUCUUCGAUCAUUACUGUAGGCACUAUCAAUUAGAUUAGAUGAUACUUGAUAAAAUGGUUUCAAGAGACAAAAAUGCUCGAUCGUACUUGAUUGAUUCAGGAAUUAAUGCUCUUCUGGGCAUAGUCACAUGCAGUUAUGACUUAGUUCAUAUUCCUCAAUGCAGAGUGAAUGACCAAACCAACAGUUCCUAUGGGAAUAAAUGUUUCAGUGAGAGCAGUGAUGUUUUUUGUUAUAUUUACUAGUCACAGAAGCUGGAUUCCUAUAAACAAAAAAAAUCAUAGAAGGUGCAUACUGUUUGUCUGCUGCCCAAUUGUGACCUUUAUUCUCUUUCCAUUUGUGACCAGAAAUUUGCCUUGCAAGAUGGCUCGUCGAAGAGAACGUCUUCAUACCUGCCAGUUCAGCUUCUUGUGUGUGUGGCGCGGGGACGAGUUGGGGUGGGGAAGCACCAACACCAUGGACGAUUUGGGCAUUGCUGCAGCCACCUAGCUCCAACCAGCGUCGGACAUAGGAGACCCCGACGCUAUGGACAAGCAGCGGCGAUUUGAUCUACUUCAUCCUCCACCUCGACUCGAUUUCAUCUGUUUCCCCUGCUGCAACGUCGCCUACCUCAAUUCAAUUCAAUUCAGGCAGUAGCAAACAUCACUCGAGAUGCAGGACGAGCUCCUAGCUCGGGUAAGCACCCCCACCCCAUCCCCAUGCUUGUUUUAGUCUUCCGAGGCUGCUUCUUUCUUGUGUGUGCUUGCUGAUGACACUUCUUUCUUGUGUGUGCUUGCUGAUGACGCUUCUUUUCUCCAUGCAUGGAGUGGAGGAACCUCAACAGGCAACAACAAGUCAUCUCCAUGGAUUCUGUCACUCCAGUUCCAUCAUAUCUCCAUGGACGGCAUCCACAAACGACCAAGAUGACGACCAGGAGCCCGGCGACGGCGGCGACUACAACCACUCCGUCUCCG
rnacentral:lncRNA from 1 species